AGCAGAGCGGGUUCUAUUCAGCGGAUGGUUCCUGCCAGUGUAACAGGGCUGGAAGCACUGCCGGCGGCCACGCGAACGGCAGCGUUGUUCGGUUUUGGCAGCGGCUCUCAGGCGGGACCACAGGCACUGUCACCAGUGAAGGACCAUUAGCCGCAGAGCCAUCUGGCGGCAAACACAGAAGACCCCUCCUGUCCAUGUACGGCUCUGCCCCGACAGAUGGCGCGCCACGCGCGCAUUGGGGCUGUACGAGGACCGGUGCGAGGCGGGUCGCGGCCCGGACUCUCUCGCCCCUGACGACGCUUCGCUUUGCUCCCUCUGCAGAAUCAAGCGUCCUUCCUUUCUUUGGGCGGCGUGACGUGCGGAUGUGUCUGCAUCAGCUCCGCCAACCGAAGUUGUCCUACUUGUUCCAAUGUACUUUUUCCUCACAAUUUCUACUGCAACGACUCCGGGAAGUUACAAGGCGCAAUUGGAUGGCGCAUCUAUCACGGUGGGUCCACUGAAACCUUUUUUUGUGGGUCCUUUCUCCGACACCAAGGGUUAAGCCUAUUUUGGCUUAGCACGACAUCGGCUCCGCCGUAGCGCGGGAAGGCGCGGCCGCUCGCUUAGCCGACGCCCAAGAGCGUUCUAGAAGAUUCCGCCAUGCCUUACGAGGCAAUGGUAGAGGGAGAGCAAAUCUCCAAAGAAGACGCCGAGUCCAAUGGCUGGAUUACCGCGCACAGAAAGCGGAACGCCGACAAAACCUGCGUCGAGAACGAGACGCGCAAGGCAAAGCAAAAAGGCGCCCGCGUUGGCGCCAAACAAGCCAGCUAGCUAAGAAAUGUUGCCGCAGCCUCCAGGCUACCGCGCCUGCCUAAAUCCCACUUUCGAGUUGUCGUCCGCCCGGGGGGAGGGCUGGACGUGCGAAAAUGCAGUCAGAUCAAAGUCACGAACGCCAUUUUAAUGGCGGCCAAGCUGCCCCCAGUGGCAGUCGAGGAGGGUAUCGUGUGUGCGAAUGCAAUGCAGAAUAUCUUUAUUAUAAGCACACCCUUCGAAUUGAACGCCAGUGCAUACUCCCAGGUCCGAGAGAUUAUCUUGGCGGAUAAACGGCACCCUAUCACGGCAUACAUUACGCCUCCGGGUAAUACCUGAAGAGGUUCGGCCAGAGGCGUCGAUGCCGAUCUGCCCGAAGCUGCACUUCAAAGCCUUUUUGUCACACCCAGAAACCCGAUGGUGCUCGGAGUCAGGCGCAAAAGAGUCGACUACCGUGAUCAUGCUGUUCAAUGGCAUGAAAGUGCCCAACUAUGUGUGCUGCGGCCCCAACAUGGUGCGCUGCACGCUGUACCAGAGGCAAAUAGACACUUGCCGCAACUGCGGACGGGUCGGUCAUUGGCACGACGUUUGCCCCAGACCGACCGACAAAGUGUGUGAAAAGUGCGGAACAUUGCAAACCACAAACGGACAAGAAUGUGUGCAACCCAAGUGCGCGCAUUGCGGAGACGCUCACCUCACCGGCGACCGAACUUGCAAAAACAGGUAUCAAGUUACUUAUGUCGUGAGGAGACGACGCAGAAGAGGAAGGAAACGCGGCAACAAGAAGAAAAACGCAACGAGCAACGCUGGGGGUCGAGGAACCCCAGCUCCAGCCACAACGCCAACUACGAACGCUCUCAGGAACGCCACCGCGCAACGUUCUAGAUCGAGAUGCAGGAGCAGAUCCCGGGUCCAGAUCAACUCACAACCCACCUGGGCGGAAAAGGCACCCAAAACAGGUGAGACCCGUGCUCCCGCACAACAAGGGCAACUCCAAGAGCAAACGCUAGGCAAAAUUCAAUCACUUGAGCGCGAAAACGCGUCUCUUAAAAAAGGAACUGUCUGAAAUUAAGUCAUUAUUGCAGGAAAUGCAGCAGAGAGAACGCGUGAUCGGCGGCCAAGCUGCCGCAGCAGCCGCCUCUCUUAACAGAGGCGCUAAACGGAGGGCGAGCCCCGAGCCCUGGACGAUGAGGAGACGCUUAACGUCUCAGGGAUCAAGCAACUGCUUGACCAGCUAAGAUUGGACAUAGUUUCCGAAAUUAGCCCCACCAAGCUCCAACUGAACGAGCACACAGCGAGGCUCCAAAUUUUAGAAUCCGACAGACAGCUUGCGCUGCUCGGUACGUCCCCACUACGUAAGUAAAAUGGCUAACUCAAGCAAUCUAGUUAUCUGGCAAUGGAAUAGCGCCAGCUUCCGCAAAAGGAAGGCAGCCUUGCAACAACUACUUAGCUCUGCUAACGAAAGGCCGUCGGUAAUCCUCCUUCAGGAAACACUCACCGAUGUGAUCGCUCUUCGCGACUACCAUGCAGAAGCGCACUUUUCGGAGGGCAAAAGAGGAAUAGCGACACUCGUCUCAAAGAGCCUCACCUAUUUACGUCACGACGUAAGGCCAAACUUAAAAGUCGAACACAUCAUGAUCGAGCUCAUCCAAAACGCUAAACUCAACCAAUCCGUUUUCAUUCUGAACGUGUACAGCUCGCCAGCCGACAGAAGGGAGACGUUUAACGCUCUCUUCCAGAAGGCAUGUCAAAUUGCAGGCGAUCAUCCGCUUAUUAUAGCAGGGGACUUUAACGCAAAACACCAAGAUUGGGGUUACAUCAAAGACACGACCAAGGGCAAGGCCCUCGCGGCACAGAUAGCAGCCUGCGGUCUCACCUUGGUCACCGAUCCAACAUACCCCACCAGAAUUGGCAACUCAGCAGCAGGGAUACCACGCCAGACCUGACCAUGGUUAGGAAUGGGGAGGAACCGGUAUGGACCAAUUUACAAGAGAACCUCAGCAGUGAUCACUACAUCAGCAGCCUCGCGAUAAGAGUGUCAUCACCGCCUCUCAGAAAAUUCAGAGUAACGGAUUGGGACCUCUUUAGAGAUAUCAGAAAGAAGGACAAGAUUAAAUACAGCUCGUUAGAGGAAUUAUUCGCCCGCCUCCGAGAAGACGUUGCUGCUUCCACAAAGGAAAUAGAGACGGACAAAGAGGUAGAGCGCAUGGACAGUAGAUUAGCACACCUGCUAGAAGCCAAAAACGUGCUACAGGCACAAUGGAAAACACAAAAGUUAAAUAGACGCCUACGCAAAAAGAUUGCAGAACUUAAUAAGCAAAUAGAUGAACAUAGCCAAACCCUCGCUCGGCAGCAAUGGGACGAAGUAUGCAACGCCGUCGACGGGCAAAUGAGGAGUGGAGCAAAAUGGAACAUCCUCAAGCAUCUGCUUGGGGACAAACAAUCCAAAGCCCAUCAGAGGCUCACUAUUGAUAGGCUCAUCAACAAAUUAAAAAACUCUGGUAUGACCGAGAAACAAAUUACAGACGAGUUGGCCUCGAGGUACCUCUGUAUCGAACCCGGCUCAAACAAUGACUACCUCUCUGCGACACACGAGAACGAAACGGACCCUCUGAGCUCCCCUUUCACGUACGCGGAGGUGAGAGAGGUAUUAUACGAACUCAAUUGCAGAUCAGCACCGGGUCCCGAUGUGAUCACAAAUAAACUCUUAAAGAAUUUGGAUGAUGGGGCCAUCGAGCUCCUCACAAAUAAAAUCAACGAGGUUUGGGAGACAGGCGAGGUACCACUGGAGUGGCGUAAUGCGACCGUAAUCCUCAUCCCGAAGCCAGGAAAAACCUUAGAGCUUGGCUCGCUCCGGCCGAUUUCACUCACUUCCUGUGUGGGAAAGGUCGCCAAGCACAUCAUUCUCCAUAGGACCACUAAAUUCACAGAGGAAAGGAAUCUAUUUCCGUUUAAUCAAAUUGGAUUCAGACCAUCCAUGUCCACACAGGCCGUAAUGCUGCUUCUAAAACAUAAGAUUAUUGACAAGGUCUCCAGAGAUACCUGGGCCGUCCUGGCACUGGACCUAGAAAAGGCCUUCGACAAGGUAACACACUCUCACAUACUCGAAUCGAUUAAAGAAGCUGGUCUAGGACAAAAAUUCUACAAGUACGUCAGCUCCUUCCAAAAGGAUAGAAAAGCCACUAUUCGCCUAAGAGCUCUGGGCUCGAGAACAUUCGAUCUCGGACCCACAGGCACCCCGCAAGGGGCAGUCCUCUCCCCUUUUUUAUUUAACUUAUCCAUGAGAGAUCUUUCCCAAAAGCUGGCCGAGAUUGAGGGUAUCGGUCACGUCUUCUACGCCGACGACAUCACAGUCUGGUGCGAGGGAGGUAGCGACGGGUACAUCGAAGAGAAAUUACAAACAGCAAUCACAGUCGUUCAGGAGUUUCUCGCGAAGGCAGGACUCUGCCUGUCGGCUAAGAAAUCGGAACUGCUACUAUGCCGACGCACAAUCGGUGCAACGAAAGGGACACCUCCCGAUAUAUCUAUCACCACCGAGACCGGAUCCGUCAUUCCGGUAGUACACAGAAUCAGAAUCCUGGGCAUGUUCCUGGAGGAGGACGGCAGUAAUGACUACACCUUAGAGUGCAUUGCAACCAAAGCCGAUUUCAUGACAAAGUUAAUCACGAGGGUGGCCAACAAAAAGGGGGGGGGGGGCUAUCGGAGGAUAAUCUAAGGCGACUCUUCCACGCCUUCCUAAUCAGCCACAUUGACUAUAUAGCCCUGGCCCACAAAUGGAGCAGAAGGAAUGCGGCUAGAGUAGAAACAAUCAUUCGCAAGAGCAUAAAAAAGGCACUGGGUCUCCCACAGAGCACCAGUACUGAAAGGCUGUUGGAGCUAGGUGUCCACAACACCUUUGAAGAGAUAGUCGAGGCGCAGCAGAUGUCACAAGUUGCAAGACUGGCUUCCACGGAAGCCGGCAGACAGCUACUAGCGCAUAUCGGUCAUGGUUCGUGUAUCACCAAACAGAGGGAGUGCGCGCUCCCCGCCAAAGUCAGAGAAAUGUAUUCAGUAUCCCAGAUACCUAGAAAUAUGCACCCUCAACACAAUUACGGCAGACGUAAAGUGAGGGCCAGGGCCCUCCUUAGCCUGGCGGCUAAGAUUGAGGACAACGUCGCCUUCGUCGACGCUGCGCAAUACGCUGCUUCCAAUCAUUUUGUUUCGGUAGCUACAUCGCUGCGGGGGGAGCUGCUGACGUCGCUUACGCAUCAAAAUGUGAACGCCGACAAAGCCGAACAGGUGGCGGUAGCCAUCGCCAUGGCCACCACGAACCGUUCCACUAUCUUCACAGACUCGCGAGCUGCCGUUAGAGCAUUCAUGAAAGGCUCGGUAUGCAAGGAAGCCGCUCGCGUUCUCUCUGCAGCAUCUUGGACAGGCAAAAAGCACUUAAUCUGGUUCCCCGGUCACAUGGGAAGCGAUGCCCAUGAAGCCGUCCCCAACGCCAACGAACUUGCUCACUCCCAGGCACGAGAUCUCACCCGCCGCGCCGGAAGUGGGCAAUCGGUGGCUUGGGGAUGGCAAUGGCACAGGGAACCCUCUCCUUACUUUUAACGAGGUCUGCAGGCACUAUCAACUAGGGCGUUGGAAGUUUCCACUUCCACACCCACACCUAAACAGACCACAGGCAAUCAUCCUGCGGAUGCUGCAGACAGAGACGUAUCCGUCUCCAUUUAUUUGCUCAAAGUUCCUAGGUGGCAUCAACCCGGGCUGACCGCGCUGUGGACAUCCCAGAUGCAUGCUUAAGCACAUGCUCUGGCAGUGCCUCGACUUGUGCGGAGGCUCAGGGUCUCCCUCUUCGGAGGAAGACUGGCUCCAGCUCGUCACCAGCUCCGCCAAGAAAGAGCAACUCAGGGCUGUCCAGAGAGCCCGCGAUAUCGCCGAGAGUCUCAACCUCCCGGCUCCGUCGUGGGUGCGGCCCGCAGACGCUGCCCCCUAACGGGGACACUCAUCGUCUUCUCAGGACCAAAAUAAAAG